rnacentral:rRNA from 1 species
AAUAUUGGACAAUGGGCGAAAGCCUGAUCCAGCCAUGCCGCGUGUGUGAAGAAGGCUUUCGGGUUGUAAAGCACUUUCAGCGAGGAAGAAAGCCUCUGGGCCAAUACCCCAGAGGAAGGACAUCACUCGCAGAAGAAGCACCGGCUAACUCCGUGCCAGCAGCCGCGGUAAUACGGAGGGUGCGAGCGUUAAUCGGAAUUACUGGGCGUAAAGCGCGCGUAGGUGGCUUGGCACGCCGGUUGUGAAAGCCCCGGGCUCAACCUGGGAACUGCAUCCGGAACGGCCAGGCUAGAGUGCAGGAGAGGAAGGUAGAAUUCCCGGUGUAGCGGUGAAAUGCGUAGAGAUCGGGAGGAAUACCAGUGGCGAAGGCGGCCUUCUGGCCUGACACUGACACUGAGGUGCGAAAGCGUGGGUAGCAAACAGGAUUAGAUACCCUGGUAGUCCACGCCGUAAACGAUGUCGACUAGCCGUUGGGACCUUUAAGGACUUAGUGGCGCAGUUAACGCGAUAAGUCGACCGCCUGGGGAGUACGGCCGCAAGGUUAAAACUCAAAUGAAUUGACGGGGGCCCGCACAAGCGGUGGAGCAUGUGGUUUAAUUCGAUGCAACGCGAAGAACCUUACCUACCCUUGACAUCCAGAGAAGUUGGCAGAGAUGCCUUCGUG